GGCAAAUCUUUUUUUUUUUUUUUUUUAAUUUUUUAUUGGAUUUUAGGUUUUGGGGUACAUGAGCAUAGCAUGCAAGACAGUUGCGUAGGUACACACAUGGCAGUGUGCUUUGCUUUUCUUCUCCCCUUCACCCACAUUUGGCAUUUCUCCCCAGGCUAUCCCUCCCCACCUCCCCCUCCCACUGGCCCUCCCCUUUUCCCCCCAAUAGACCCCAGUGUUUAGUACUCCCCUUUCUGUGUCCAUGUGUUCUCAUUUUUCAUCACCCACCUAUGAGUGAGAAUAUGCGGUGUUUCAUUUUCUGUUCUUGUGUCAGUUUGCUGAGGAUGAUGUUCUCCAGAUUCAUCCAUGUCCCUACAAACGACACAAACUCAUCAUUUCUGAUUGCUGCAUAAUAUUCCAUGGUGUUUCAUUUUCUGUUCUUGUGUCAGUUUGCUGAGAAUGAUGUUCUCCAGAUUCAUCCAUGUCCCUAUAAACGACACGAACUCAUCAUUUCUGAUUGCUGCAUAAUAUUCCAUGGUGUAUAUGUGCCACAUUUUCCCAAUCCAGUCUAUCAUCGAUGGGCAUUUGGGUUGAUUCCAGGUCUUUGCUAUUGUAAACAGGGCUGCAAUGAACAUUCGUGUGCAUGUGUCCUUGUAGUAGAACGAUUUAUAGUCCUUUGGAUAUAUACCCAGUAAUGGGAUUGCUGGGUCAAAUGGGAUUUCUAUAUCUAAGGCCUUGAGGAAUCACCACACCAUCUUCCACAAUGGUUGGACUAAUUUACACUCCCACCAACAGUGUAAAAGUGUUCCUUUUUCUCCACAUCCUCUCCAGCAUCUGUUGUCUCCAGAUUUUUUAAUGAUCGCCAUUCUAACUGGUGUGAGAUGGUAUCUCAAUGUGACGAUGAGCAUUUUUUCAUAUGAUUGUUGGCCUCAUAUAUGUCUUCUUUCAUAAAGUGUCUGUUCAUAUCCUUUGCCCACAUUUUUAUACAGCCAUCUUUUUCAGAUACAUUAUUCGGAGUUGCUUUUCCAUUUAUUC
rnacentral:lncRNA from 13 species